UAGGGAAUCUUCCACAAUGGACGCAAGUCUGAUGGAGCAACGCCGCGUGAGUGAAGAAGGCUUUCGGGUCGUAAAACUCUGUUAUUGAAGAAGAACGUGUGUGACAGUAACUGGUCAUGCAGUGACGGUAUUCAAUCAGAAAGUCACGGCUAACUACGUGCCAGCAGCCGCGGUAAUACGUAGGUGGCAAGCGUUGUCCGGAUUUAUUGGGCGUAAAGCGAGUGCAAGCGGUCUUUUAAGUCUGAUGUGAAAGCCUUCGGCUUAACUGAAGAAGGGCAUCGGAAACUGGGAGACUUGAGUGCAGAAGAGGAGAGUGGAACUCCAUGUGUAGCGGUGAAAUGCGUAGAUAUAUGGAAGAACACCAGUGGCGAAGGCGGCUCUCUGGUCUGUAACUGACGCUGAGGCUCGAAAGCGUGGGUAGCAAACAGGAUUAGAUA
rnacentral:rRNA from 1 species